rnacentral:rRNA from 1 species
GAAACUAAAUAGGAUUCCCUUAGUAAUGGGGAAUGAACAGGGAUCAGCUCAGGAUGGAAAUCGGGGCCCCCCCGGCCUUGAAUUGUAAUCUGGAGAUGCAUCACCAACUGGGGCACAGAUGUAAGCCUCUUGGAAAAGAGCAUCAGUGAGGGUGAGAAUCCCGCAUGGCAUCUGCAGUCCUCAGUGUACGGUGUGCAUUCUAAGAGUCACACUCCUCGGGACUGGAGUGCAAAUUGGGUGGUAAAUUUCAUCUAAAGCUAAAUAUUUAUUCGAGACCGAUAGCAAACAAGUACCAUGAGGGAAAGGUGAAAAGGACUUUGAGAAGAGAGUUAAAAGUGCCUGAAAUUGCUGAAAGAGAAGCGAAUGGAACCAGUGCAACUUGGCAAGAUUGUCGUGUGCCAGCCGGAUUGCUCGCUGCUUCAACGCAAGUGUGGCAGUGGGUUUUGAUGGCGACGUGCAUGGUGUUUCUUGCUUGGCCCGUCAACGUUGGUUCACGGUUGAGGAAAACUUCAAGGACCUGGGAGCCUACCUGCGGUGGGUGUAAAGUGCUUGUUGGAACUCA